GUCUCGAAAUCGGGACAAGUUCUUACUCAAGUUGACUCAAUGAGAUCGAAAGAUUCCAUUAGAGGUCACGGUAUUGGUCCUGGACUUGGUCUCUCGCAAUUCGCGCUCAAAGAAGAAGCGGCUGGAAAAAUCCGGCUCUUCGCUUUGAUGGAUUCAAUAACACAAAGUGUUAUGAGUCCUCUCCAUGAUUACAUGUUCGCCAUCUUAAGGAAAAUUCCUAAUGAUGGGACAUUUGAUCAAGAGGCGUCAAUUGCUAGAUCCCAAGAAAAGGCCGUUACUGCGGGCAAGGCAUUCAGUUAUGAUCUGACUGCUGCUACGGAUCGACUACCUGUGAUCCUUACUGCGUUCAUACUCUCCACAAUCGUGGGGAUUAGAACGUUUGGGGGUCUUUGGAGGUCAAUUUUGGUCAAAAGACCUUUUGGUUUCAACAGCACUGUUGCUGAGAAAUUGAAAGUCUCUGACGGUCCGUACUUCUACGAGGUAGGGCAACCUAUGGGUGCUCUAUCUUCUUGGCCCGGUCUUGCCUUAACGCAUCACUGGAUUGUCCAAGUUGCCGCUUUUAGAGUUACAAAUUCUAAGAGUUGGAACACCGAGUAUGAAAUACUUGGUGAUGAUAUCGUGAUAUUCAAUGAGCUUAUUGCUCAAGAAUAUCUAAAUAUCAUGGCUGUAAUCGGGUGUGAGAUUAAUUUAAACAAAUCAAUCUCCUCCCGACACCGUCCCGUUUUCGAAUUCGCAAAACGAACCUGUUGGAGCUUUGCAAUAGUAAGUGGAAUCUCCCUCGCUCAAAUAAGAGCGGGUUGGAGAAUCGGGGGUCGUGUAGCUAAUGCUCUGCAAUUUGCAAGAGCAGGACUACUAGAACCCGGUGAAUCCCUGUUGCAAGCUAUCCUUUCUAGAAAUACCUUUUCAAAAGGUAGAGUAUUGCCAGGUUACAAGACGGAGUCAGUAACCUCACAAAAGGCUCUAGCCUUAGGGGUACUGGCGUUGUUAGGGGAAAGAUUCCAAUCUGGAAUCAUCCCGCUAAGAACGGUAAUGCACGCGAUCAUAGAUCCUAUU
rnacentral:misc_RNA from 1 species